rnacentral:rRNA from 1 species
GAUGAACGCUGACAGCAUGCUUAACACAUGCAAGUCAACUGUGGCGGACGGCUGCGUAACGCGUAAAGCACUUGCCUCACAGAUAGGGAAAACAUUUGGCAACGAAUGCUAAUACGUGAUACUUGGAGAGCGCUUUGCGUCCCCUUAGCUAGUUGGAGAGGUAACGGCUCACCAAGGCGAGGAUGGGUAGACGGCCUGCGAGUGUGAUCGGCCACAAGGGGACUGGGACACGGCCCUUAGUGAUACGGGAGGCAGUAGUGGGGAAUUGUGGACAAUGGACCAAAGUCUGAUGAAGCAAUUCUGUGUGCACAGUGAAGUUUUCGGAAUGUAAAGUGCUUUAAGUUGGGCAGCGUUACCAACAGAAGAAGCGACGGCUAAAUACGUGCCAGCAGCCGCGGUAAUAC